AUACUACUCCCUCCGUCCGGAAAUACUUGUCGGGGAAAUGGAUGUAUCUAGACGUAUUUUAGUUCUAGAUACAUCCAUUUUCGCGACAAGUAAUUCCGGACGGAGGGAGUACAUU
rnacentral:pre_miRNA from 1 species